rnacentral:lncRNA from 7 species
CCUUUAGUGCACAUAAGUUGCACAUGAACUAACAUUUUAAAAAAAAACAUACAUAUUGUUUUCAUCAUACUCCAGUUAUAUAUACAAAAAUUAAGUUCAAAUUCAUAUUGCAUAAAGAGUAAUAAAAAAGAUAAAAUUUCUCACAAGUUUAAAUUAGAACAUCGGCUAAAAUGUUCUUUUUUAUUACAUCUAAAAUAUAACGAAUUUAAACUUAAUUUUGCAUGUAUUGGAGUAGGGUGGAAAGUAUAUGUAUGAUUUUAAAAAAUGUGAAUUUUAUUAGUUCAUGUGCAAUCUAUAUGCACCAAAGACUCAUGAUAUUAUAUAUUACUCUAGCCAAAAG